UGAAUGAUGUUGAGGGGUGAAAUUUAGGUUUUGUUGUUGAGUCUUGUAAGAGGUUGGGUUAAAUGAUGGAUAUGGUUGAUGGUAGUGUCGACUUGGGGUAUAAGGUUGUUGUGUUGGGUUGAAAGGUUGUCGGGUGUUACAAGUUGGUUAUUGGGUGUUAAAUGUUGGUUGUUAGUUGUUGGGUGUUAGUGAUGCUUGAUGGGCUGAUGUG
rnacentral:lncRNA from 1 species